UACCACCCAACACGUCUGUAAAUUGCUUCAGUGCAACCUUCAGAAAAUCUGCACUUGACUCGGCCUUGUCCUCACUUCCUUCUUCAUCUCCAAGUCUAAACUCCUGAGUUACCGCGGUGGUCACCCUGUUGAUUCCUUGCUUUCUACCCUAUUGUUCCAGCACCAUGAGUUGUACACACUUUUAAAACACUGAUUUCGGGUAAUAGCGUCCCUUGGGUCAAAACCCGCACGUGACUCCUCAGCUCACUUAGAGAAGAACACUAGUCCUCCACAGCCAAAGGAGCCAGACGCUGACUGCACUCUGCCUGCUCGCCCCACUCCUGCUGCAGGCUCUGCAGACUUAGGACAGGAGUGAUCUGAGUUCUGACGUAACAGGCUGACUCCAAAGUCCCCUGACUCAUCCCUGUUUCACUGGUUCCUCGUUGAGGUGCUACCCCUCGAAAAACCGACAUCCUCCUCCCUGUUUCCUGCGUUAUAAUUCUCUGCAUCUGUCAUCAGAUGAUAUUCUUCUGGCUCAUCAGGCCCAUGUUUAACCACCGAAGAAUCAGGUUAAGGGAGAGAAGACAGAAAAAAAAAAUCAAAUUAUUCUGCCUUAAGUUCUGGUCAGGGCAAACUCUGGAGCUCUAUGAAGAGUGGCAAGACUAACCUGGCUAUGUGAACUAACCAAAGCUGCAAAGGCAAAAAACGAGCUAAUCCUUCCUGGGGAUCUCAUCACUAAGACAAUGGCUGACUGCCUGUCCACAGCAUACACAAAAGGAGUGAAGAAGUAUAAAGCGGCAUGCUGCUCUGCCAGUCCGGCUUCUACCAACAGUAACUGACG